UACAGAGGUCCCGAGCGUUGUUCGGAUUCACUGGGCGUAAAGGGUGCGCAGGUGGUUUGGCAAGUUUGACGUGAAAGCCCCGGGCUUAACCCGGGAAUGGCGUUGAAAACUGCUUGAACUGGAGGAUUGGAGGGGGGACUGGAAUUCUUGGUGUAGCAGUGAAAUGCGUAGAUAUCAAGAGGAACACCAGUGGCGAAGGCGAGUCCCUGGACAAUUCCUGACACUGAGGCACGAAAGCCAAGGGAGCAAACAGG
rnacentral:rRNA from 1 species